UCUACAGCCAGUACCUAGGCCAAGUAGACCUAGAACCAAAACAGUUGAGCAAGAAUAAACGUUCUGCCCUUCUUCUUUUAACUUCUGAUUUUCCGAUACUCUUUCCGCUGCAACAAAACAUUGUUUGAAUGGGUAACCUUCAUCCAGCUUUUUUUAACAAUUGGUAGCUUAGCAACUGGCUUAAAUAUUCAGCAAUUGCGGAUGACUUGGAUUUCUUUACCUGAUGAUAGUUAAUCAAUUCUUUGUCCUUUGUUUAUGUAAAAGACCUAUUAUAGUGUGGCGAACGUAAGCUUUGCCAAUGUUUGUGUAGAUACUUAGUUUGUUCAUUCUUACCAAUUAUCAAAGAGAAGAAAUUCGAAAGUUUAUGUUUCAAAUUUUUGUGUAUUCUGUUUAAUUUAUUUCGUAUACAGCGUGAGAGGUGUUAGUAGAAGAAUACAAAAAAAAUACUGGCACACAAAAUACACCUGUUUGUCAAACUGAAUGUGAAAGUUUCGUUUAAGGCUUUGUUUCUUUUCUGUGAUUUUAAUAAAGGAAAAAGAAAAUAAAGAAUCAUUGUGAAUGAC